rnacentral:rRNA from 1 species
AUUGAACGCUGGCGGCAGGCUUAACACAUGCAAGUCGAGCGGGGGAAGGUAGCUUGCUACUGGACCUAGCGGCGGACGGGUGAGUAAUGCUUAGGAAUCUGCCUAUUAGUGGGGGACAACAUCUCGAAAGGGAUGCUAAUACCGCAUACGUCCUACGGGAGGAAGCAGGGGAUCUUCGGACCUUGCGCUAAUAGAUGAGCCUAAGUCGGAUUAGCUAGUUGGUGGGGUAAAGGCCUACCAAGGCGACGAUCUGUAGCGGGUCUGAGAGGAUGAUCAGCCACACUGGGACUGGAACACGGCCCAGACUCCUACGGGAGGCAGCAGUGGGGAAUAUUGGACAAUGGGCGGAAGCCUGAGCCAGCCAUGCCGCGUGUGUGAAGAAGGCCUUAUGGUUGUAAAGCACUUUAAGCGGGGAGGAGGCUACUUUAGUUAAUACCUAGAGAUAGUGGACGUUACUCGCAGAAUAAGCACCGGCUAACUCUGUGCCAGCCGCCGCAGUAA